rnacentral:rRNA from 1 species
UACGUAGGGUGCAAGCGUUGUCCGGAAUUAUUGGGCGUAAAGAGCUCGUAGGCGGUCUGUCGCGUCUGCUGUGAAAACCUAGGGCUUAACUCUGGGCGUGCAGUGGGUACGGGCAGACUAGAGUGCGGUAGGGGAGACUGGAAUUCCUGGUGUAGCGGUGAAAUGCGCAGGUAUCAGGAGGAACACCGGUGGCGAAGGCGGGGUCUCUGGGCCGUAACUGGACGCUGAGGAGCGAAAGCAUGGGGAGCGAACAGG